AUACGUAGGGGGCGAGCGUUGUCCGGAAUGAUUGGGCCUAAAGGGCGCGUAGGCGGCCCGGUAAGUCUGGAGUGAAAGUCCUGUUUUUAAGAUGGGAAUUGCUUUGGAUACUGUCGGGCUUGAGUGCAGGAGAGGUAAGUGGAAUUCCCAGUGUAGCGGUGAAAUGCGUAGAGAUUGGGAGGAACACCAGUGGCGAAGGCGACUUACUGGACUGUAACUGACGCUGAGGCGCGAAAGUGUGGGGAGCAAACAGGAUUAGAUACCCUGGUAGUCCACACUGUAAACGAUGAAUGCUAGGUGUAGGGGGUAUCGACCCCUUCUGUGCCGCAGUCAACACAAUAAGCAUUCCGCCUGGGGAGUACGGCCGCAAGGUUGAAACUCAAAGGAAUUGACGGGG
rnacentral:rRNA from 1 species